GAUGAACGCUGGCGGCGUGCCUAAUACAUGCAAGUCGAGCGAAUGGAUUAAGAGCUUGCUCUUAUGAAGUUAGCGGCGGACGGGUGAGUAACACGUGGGUAACCUGCCCAUAAGACUGGGAUAACUCCGGGAAACCGGGGCUAAUACCGGAUAAUAUUUUGAACUGCAUGGUUCAAAAUUGAAAGGCGGCUUCGGCUGUCACUUAUGGAUGGACCCGCGUCGCAUUAGCUAGUUGGUGAGGUAACGGCUCACCAAGGCAACGAUGCGUAGCCGACCUGAGAGGGGGAGCGGCCACACUGGGACGGAGACACGGCCCAGACUCCUACGGGAGGUAGCAGUAGGGAAUCUUCAGCAAUGGACGAAAGUCUGACGGAGCAACGCCGCGUGAGUGAUGAAGGCUUUCGGGUCGUAAAACUCUGUUGUUAGGGAAGAACAAGUGCUAGUUGAAUAAGCUGGCACCUUGACGGUACCUAACCAGAAAGCCACGGCUAACUACGUGCCAGCAGCCGCGGUAA
rnacentral:rRNA from 1 species